rnacentral:lncRNA from 1 species
AUAUAUAGAAAGAUUGAAGACUGCACUUUGGAGAAAACCUAGAUUGGAGUUAUGGUCCAUGAGAUAUCAGAGGAUGACCAGCCGGAGGAGAGGUAGGGGAGAAUCAAAUGAGUCCUGUUACAGAAGAGAAGAGAGCAAUUCAAGGAAGAAUCUACUAUCCUUCAGGGAGCCAUCUGCAGAGAUAUUAAGGAGAGCACAAAUCUUACUUUAUUGCCAUGCUGAUGAACGGUGGAAGAAGCCAGAGAGCAAGAGUGACACAGGCUCUUCUAUCUAUGACUAGUGAAGCUAUGGAAAAGGAAAACUUAACUUUGAAUUGGAGAGAGUGGGGCUCUUCCAAUGACCAGUCCUGUAACUCUCAGAAGACCAGCUGACCUCUUGGGACUUAGUUGCCCUCCUCUUCAGAAUUGGCACCAUAUUACCAGGUACCCUUUGGGCUUGUGCCGAGGACCAGCCCAGGCCAGCGAGAAGUCCUUGGCACGGGACAGGCACCUCUUAUCCUAGAUGGUCUGCAAAUAAUAACUGUGAUAAUGCCCACGGUCGUGUUGGUGACUUAGAGAACUCCAGCUUUAUACCAAAUAGCUAGCACUUUGAAAUUGAUAAAAUGUGUGAGCUACAGAAGAGAAAGUGCUUGUAAGAAUUUCUAAGGCCACACAUACCCAAAUUCCAAGCUGAGUAAUAAUUUAAUGCCUAUCAUUUUGGUCAAAGAUAAAUUGAAUUGAGAUAAGAAUGCUUUGAUUUUUUAGUAUCACUGGAUAGGGAAAUCCUGGCAUUAAACAAUUUACAUCCCUGUAGUUGUGAGACAAUGUAAAAUUCCACUAUCAGUCCAAGAGUUUUAUAUCAUAAUUUUAGCUAUAAAAUGUAACAUUGUUAAAAUAAAUUUAAAAUGGUCUAAAUGUACAUUUCGAAUGUUUUGAUCUUUGCACAUUGAUUUAAUUGUGAAAGAUGACAAUAAUCUUUAAAGUUCAUAAAGUUAUAUUAAAUCUUGAAAAAAAUAACAGGGAAUUCUUUUCUGAAUCUUGUGAAAUGAUCUUAUUUAUUCUUCAUAUGCAACUCACACUAUUUCAAUGUAUGUAUAUAAACUAAAAUAAUCAACAUCAUACAUUGCAAAACCAUACCUUGAGCUUCUUAAUAAACAUCGAUAUAUGCUUUGAAAUUGUAUUUGAAUAGAAAAUUCAAUAAGCCAUUUAAUCAAGUUACAUAAUAUACUCUUUAGAAAUUAUUUUCCAAAGAAUGUUUAUCUGUGUUUUAUUUCUCAUGAAAAUGUGAAUUUUGUUUAAGUGCUUUUGAUAUGUGAUUUAUGUAUUUGCUUUAAAGAAUUGUAUGUAACAUUUUGUGAAGACUUCUACUAGUAUUAAUCCAAUAGAGCAAUAUAAUCAGAUAAUGUUUUCAUUAAACACUUCUUUACUCUUUGUAAGUGUGUUAAAUCAUACCUGUUUAUAAGUUUUAGGUUGGAGGUGUUUCAAUGAACAGACCACCUUGCCUAUUCAUACAUGACCUU